CGGGGUAUAGCUCAGUAGGUAGAGCGGCGGACUUUUAAUCCGUUGGCCGCUGGUUCGAGCCCAGCUGCCCCGACCA
rnacentral:tRNA from 1 species